GGCGGGGAUGAAACGUUUGCCGCCGAAUUCGUCACACCCAUUUCUUGCGAGAUGCCGCCGGCGAACAGCUGGCGGGCCGACUGCUUCAUUUUCUCUGGCGGUUGCCUCCGUCUAAUGGACUGCGGCCGGCUGGUGGCAAGCCGCUUUGAAAUACAAGGAUUUCUACUCAAAAUCGACCAGCCAUGUUGGCUAUUAUUAUUUUGUUUUGACUUGAAGGAUAAACUCAAUGAAAAAUUGUUGGCAGGUAAGUUUCCCUAGCUGGUCCCCUCCAGGUAAAAUGCGUUCUUAUUCAAGUUUUCAACUCAGUCAUUCAUUUAAGAUGCAAUCUUGUGUUAUAAGUAUUAGGCUAUCAUGAUUAUACAGUGAGCAAGCUAUAUAAAUAAGUAUUUAAUAUAAUAAAAGUGUAGAGCAACAACCGAGGGUGUAAGGUAAAGGCUGAAUAUUGUAGAUUUAUUACAAUAUGUUGCAUGUUUGAAUUAAAAUACCUGUGGAUAUGCAACUUCCCACUCAUGAAAGUUUUAUGUUCUACAAAGGAGCACACUCUACAAAGGCCUGACUGGAGAUUUGCCUGAUCUAUCCGUCCUUCAGGUGACAGCGGCUCACUUCAAGAGCAAGUGAAGCAAGUUGGGACAAUGUUGAAGGCGUUUGCUCACACUGGGCAAUCAGGUGCAGAUCAGACCCUAAUGCUGCGAUGUCUUGGAGAGUUUGGCGAUGUUGUGCGUAGCAUGGACAACAAAAUGGACACUAUGCUGCAACAUUUCAGUGCCAAUGUGUCUGUUGGAGAGUUAUCCCUGCCAGGGAUCUGUUACUUCCCCUAGACA